rnacentral:rRNA from 1 species
UGGGGAAUCUUGGACAAUGGGGGCAACCCUGAUCCAGCCAUGCCGCGUGAGUGAUGAAGGCCUUAGGGUCGUAAAGCUCUUUCGCCUGUGAAGAUAAUGACGGUAGCAGGUAAAGAAACCCCGGCUAACUCCGUGCCAGCAGCCGCGGUAAUACGGAGGGGGUUAGCGUUGUUCGGAAUUACUGGGCGUAAAGAGUUCGUAGGCGGACUAGCAAGUUAGAGGUGAAAUCCCAGGGCUCAACCCCGGAACUGCCUCCAAAACUAUUGGUCUAGAGUUCGAGAGAGGUGAGUGGAAUUCCAAGUGUAGAGGUGAAAUUCGUAGAUAUUUGGAGGAACACCAGUGGCGAAGGCGGCUCACUGGCUCGAUACUGACGCUGAGGUGCGAAAGUGUGGGGAGCAAACAGGAUUAGAUACCCUGGUAGUCCACACCGUAAACGAUGAAUGCCAGUCGUCGGGUAGCAUGCUAUUCGGUGACACACCUAACGGAUUAAGCAUUCCGCCUGGGGAGUACGGUCGCAGAUUAAAA